UACGGGGGGGGCAAGCGUUGUUCGGAAUUACUGGGCGUAAAGGGCGCGUAGGCGGCUCGCUAAGUCGGAUGUGAAAACUCUGGGCUCAACCCAGAGCCUGCAUUCGAAACUGACGGGCUAGAGUUCUGGAGGGGAAAGCGGAAUUCCUGGUGUAGCGGUGAAAUGCGUAGAUAUCAGGAGGAACACCGGUGGCGAAAGCGGCUCACUGGACCAUAACUGACGCUGAGGUGCGAAAGCUAGGGUAGCAAACGGG
rnacentral:rRNA from 1 species